rnacentral:rRNA from 1 species
GCUUAGGAAUCUGCCUAUUAGUGGGGGACAACAUCUCGAAAGGGAUGCUAAUACCGCAUACGUCCUACGGGAGAAAGCAGGGGACCUUCGGGCCUUGCGCUAAUAGAUGAGCCUAAGUCGGAUUAGCUAGUUGGUGGGGUAAAGGCCUACCAAGGCGACGAUCUGUAGCGGGUCUGAGAGGAUGAUCCGCCACACUGGGACUGAGACACGGCCCAGACUCCUACGGGAGGCAGCAGUGGGGAAUAUUGGACAAUGGGGGGAACCCUGAUCCAGCCAUGCCGCGUGUGUGAAGAAGGCCUUUUGGUUGUAAAGCACUUUAAGCGAGGAGGAGGCUACCGAGAUUAAUACUCUUGGAUAGUGGACGUUACUCGCAGAAUAAGCACCGGCUAACUCUGUGCCAGCAGCCGCGGUAAUACAGAGGGUGCAAGCGUUAAUCGGAUUUACUGGGCGUAAAGCGCGCGUAGGUGGCCAAUUAAGUCAAAUGUGAAAUCCCCGAGCUUAACUUGGGAAUUGCAUUCGAUACUGGUUGGCUAGAGUAUGGGAGAGGAUGGUAGAAUUCCAGGUGUAGCGGUGAAAUGCGUAGAGAUCUGG